AACAAAACAAAAAAAAGAAAAAAAACGAAGGAAGAAAUACCAAUACACAAAUGUUUAUGUUUACACUUUUUUUUCCCUCUCC
rnacentral:ribozyme from 1 species